rnacentral:lncRNA from 1 species
UCAUUUACAUUAUAUUUCUAUCUUUCUCAAAUCCAUCACAUAGAUUACUUGGACCCAGAUUUUGCUAAAUUGAAAUACACUGAUGUAUAUUUCCUACUAAUUCGGAGGGAUCAAUCCCAUCUUACUCAUGCACUGACUUGAUAAGUACUUGACUAUAUCCAAAAAUCUUUCAUCACUGAAUUAAAAACUCAGUUAGUUCGGCACCAAAGUACAGUGAGUGGUUUGCAAAUCACCAUGGUGAUCU